GAAAAGGCGGCGCCAUCCUAAGGAGGGACACAGAUCCACCGCCCAAUUCCUUUCCUGGGAUCUUCAGAGUUAUAGAAAUUUGAGGUCAAGACAGACCUGGAUUGAACUUAAACCUGACAUCAACUUUUGUGACCUUGGGCUCCUAACCAGCCUCUCCGAAGUGACUGUUAUUAAGAUUAAAAGAAGGCCUGUCUCAGGGGUCUCAUCAGCAGGCACAGGGGUGGCACUCAGUGCGGGCAUCCGUUUGUGGGUGCCUGCCGAGGCCCCAGACCCCGUGACGUGGGGAGACUUAUAGUCCCCAGGGGAGGGCGCCCGGGCCCGGCCUGAGCUGGAGGUGGUGGUGGAGAAGCGCAUGAUGGGCCCAAAGCCAGAGAAGACCACCUUCUGCUCAAAAAGGCUAUGGCUGGAAGACUUUUUCCCCUUUGACUCCCUGCUGCUCUCAGAGGUCUCCUGCGUGCUGGCCUCGUGGUGGGAGGAAGAGGAAGCCGAGGAGGAGACCUGAAGGAGAGGAGAGAGGAAGGUUCAACACCAGGCAGGGAAGAUGGAAGCCAAGAGGGAGAUGA
ensembl:lncRNA novel transcript, antisense to MLLT6